ensembl:misc_RNA 7SK 7SK RNA
GGAUGUGAGGGCGAUCUGGCUGUGACGUCUGUCACCCCACUAAUCACCAGGGUUGAUUCGGCUGAUCUGGUUGGCUAGGCGGGUGUCCCCUUCCUCCCUCACCCGUUCCAUGUGCGUCCAUCCCGAAGCUGCAUGCUCGGUUGAAGAGGACAACCCUCCACGAUAGAGAAGAGGAUGACCUUCCCGAUAGAGGAGAGGACUAUUCCUCGGUCAGGGGUAUACGAGUAGCUGCGCUCCCCUGCUAGAACCUCCAAACAAGCUCUCAAGGUCCAAUUGUAGGAGAACGUAGGGUAGUCAAGCUUCCAAGACUCCAGACACAUCCAAAUGAGGCACUGCAUGUGGCAGUCUGCCUUUCUUU